GCAGCCGCGGUAAUACGUAGGUGGCGAGCGUUAUCCGGAUUUACUGGGUGUAAAGGGUGAGUAGGCGGGAAGGCAAGUCAGAUGUGAAAUGCAAUGGCUCAACCAUUGAAUUGCAUUUGAAACUGUUUUUCUUGAGAGUCGGAGAGGUAAUCGGAAUUCCUAGUGUAGCGGUGAAAUGCGUAGAGAUUAGGAGGAACACCAGUGGCGAAGGCGGAUUACUGGACGACAACUGACGCUGAGACACGAAAGCGUGGGGAGCAAACAGGAUUAGAUACCCC
rnacentral:rRNA from 1 species